GCCGCUGCCACGUUGAAGAAGAGUCACCAAGCCGGCGAACUUUGAUCAGUAUUGCAUCAUUGCCUGUUCAAGCAUUAGCAAGUACAGUCAAUGAGGAAAAUCUACCGGAUCUGAAGUACCAAUUCGAUACAAUUGAUGUUGAUAAGUGGACCAAUUACUGUAUUGAAGAAAUGCAGCAUUGGCCCUUGCGAAGGAUCUUCACACUAAAGGCUCCUCAUGUUCUCAAGAUUAUUCAAGCAAGCAAGCAAUAUACUGUAUCUCUCAAGCAAUUUACUCAUACGUGUGAUUGGAAAGACGACAACCAUUUGUUCUACGACACUACUAUCUGACAGAUCAUUCAAAUGUUGGAUUCAUGGCCUACAAUAGAUGAUUUGCGACUCCAAUGUGUUUUUCUGCUGUUUUUGUUAGGUUCUUAACUCAUCAGGCCGGGCUACUGAGUAUACAUAUUGUGUUCAUCUCGCCUUCCUUCUUAGGAAAAAUCAUGUACUGAAGGUAAGCUAUUCUUUAUUUACAUUUUAUUUGUUUCUUCCUGCUACUUGUACAAUUUGCUACGGAAAUCUUCUGACUGCUUGCCUGAAUUAGAUCAUAUUUGCACCGUUGCCUGCAUUUUGUAUUGAGAACCAUCUGCUUUAGGCAUUUAGCUGUACAAAACUGUGAAAGUAGGCAAGAACCACCUGCAGCUCAAGUCUUGUAUUGUUCGGCAAUGACAAGCUAGAGUAAAAGUGGAGCCAAGAUCAAUUGUUGAAAACCUUUUACUGACUAUGAGCGAGGGAAUGUAGAAAGUGGCACUGCACUAUGAAUAUGCCCUUUGUUAGCUCUGAUU